GAGUAGUGCAGUGGUUAGAGCGCUGGGCUAUGGCUCUGGCGACCUGGGUUCGAAUCCGCGCUGCA